rnacentral:rRNA from 1 species
GGGUUGUGAGGUUAAGCGACUAAGCGUACACGGUGGAUGCCCUGGCAGUCAGAGGCGAUGAAGGACGUGCUAAUCUGCGAUAAGCGUCGGUAAGGUGAUAUGAACCGUUAUAACCGGCGAUUUCCGAAUGGGGAAACCCAGUGUGAUUCGUCACACUAUCAUUAACUGAAUCCAUAGGUUAAUGAGGCGAACCGGGGGAACUGAAACAUCUAAGUACCCCGAGGAAAAGAAAUCAACCGAGAUUCCCCCAGUAGCGGCGAGCGAACGGGGAGCAGCCCAGAGCCUGAAUCAGUGUGUGUGUUAGUGGAAGCGUCUGGAAAGGCGCGCGAUACAGGGUGACAGCCCCGUACACAAAAAUGCACAUACUGUGAGCUCGAUGAGUAGGGCGGGACACGUGGUAUCCUGUCUGAAUAUGGGGGGACCAUCCUCCAAGGCUAAAUACUCCUGACUGACCGAUAGUGAACCAGUACCGUGAGGGAAAGGCGAAAAGAACCCCGGCGAGGGGAGUGAAAAAGAACCUGAAACCGUGUACGUACAAGCAGUGGGAGCACGCUUCGGCGUGUGACUGCGUACCUUUUGUAUAAUGGGUCAGCGACUUAUAUUCUGUAGCAAGGUUAACCGAAUAGGGGAGCCGAAGGGAAACCGAGUCUUAACUGGGCGUUAAGUUGCAGGGUAUAGACCCGAAACCCGGUGAUCUAGCCAUGGGCAGGUUGAAGGUUGGGUAACACUAACUGGAGGACCGAACCGACUAAUGUUGAAAAAUUAGCGGAUGACUUGUGGCUGGGGGUGAAAGGCCAAUCAAACCGGGAGAUAGCUGGUUCUCCCCGAAAGCUAUUUAGGUAGCGCCUCGUGAAUUCAUCUCCGGGGGUAGAGCACUGUUUCGGCAAGGGGGUCAUCCCGACUUACCAACCCGAUGCAAACUGCGAAUACCGGAGAAUGUUAUCACGGGAGACACACGGCGGGUGCUAACGUCCGUCGUGAAGAGGGAAACAACCCAGACCGCCAGCUAAGGUCCCAAAGUCAUGGUUAAGUGGGAAACGAUGUGGGAAGGCCCAGACAGCCAGGAUGUUGGCUUAGAAGCAGCCAUCAUUUAAAGAAAGCGUAAUAGCUCACUGGUCGAGUCGGCCUGCGCGGAAGAUGUAACGGGGCUAAACCAUGCACCGAAGCUGCGGCAGCGACACUAUGUGUUGUUGGGUAGGGGAGCGUUCUGUAAGCCUGUGAAGGUGUACUGUGAGGUAUGCUGGAGGUAUCAGAAGUGCGAAUGCUGACAUAAGUAACGAUAAAGCGGGUGAAAAGCCCGCUCGCCGGAAGACCAAGGGUUCCUGUCCAACGUUAAUCGGGGCAGGGUGAGUCGACCCCUAAGGCGAGGCCGAAAGGCGUAGUCGAUGGGAAACAGGUUAAUAUUCCUGUACUUGGUGUUACUGCGAAGGGGGGACGGAGAAGGCUAUGUUGGCCGGGCGACGGUUGUCCCGGUUUAAGCGUGUAGGCUGGUUUUCCAGGCAAAUCCGGAAAAUCAAGGCUGAGGCGUGAUGACGAGGCACUACGGUGCUGAAGCAACAAAUGCCCUGCUUCCAGGAAAAGCCUCUAAGCAUCAGGUAACAUCAAAUCGUACCCCAAACCGACACAGGUGGUCAGGUAGAGAAUACCAAGGCGCUUGAGAGAACUCGGGUGAAGGAACUAGGCAAAAUGGUGCCGUAACUUCGGGAGAAGGCACGCUGAUAUGUAGGUGAAGUCCCUCGCGGAUGGAGCUGAAAUCAGUCGAAGAUACCAGCUGGCUGCAACUGUUUAUUAAAAACACAGCACUGUGCAAACACGAAAGUGGACGUAUACGGUGUGACGCCUGCCCGGUGCCGGAAGGUUAAUUGAUGGGGUUAGCGGUAACGCGAAGCUCUUGAUCGAAGCCCCGGUAAACGGCGGCCGUAACUAUAACGGUCCUAAGGUAGCGAAAUUCCUUGUCGGGUAAGUUCCGACCUGCACGAAUGGCGUAAUGAUGGCCAGGCUGUCUCCACCCGAGACUCAGUGAAAUUGAACUCGCUGUGAAGAUGCAGUGUACCCGCGGCAAGACGGAAAGACCCCGUGAACCUUUACUAUAGCUUGACACUGAACAUUGAGCCUUGAUGUGUAGGAUAGGUGGGAGGCUUUGAAGUGUGGACGCCAGUCUGCAUGGAGCCGACCUUGAAAUACCACCCUUUAAUGUUUGAUGUUCUAACGUUGGCCCCUGAUCGGGGUUGCGGACAGUGUCUGGUGGGUAGUUUGACUGGGGCGGUCUCCUCCUAAAGAGUAACGGAGGAGCACGAAGGUUGGCUAAUCCUGGUCGGACAUCAGGAGGUUAGUGCAAUGGCAUAAGCCAGCUUGACUGCGAGCGUGACGGCGCGAGCAGGUGCGAAAGCAGGUCAUAGUGAUCCGGUGGUUCUGAAUGGAAGGGCCAUCGCUCAACGGAUAAAAGGUACUCCGGGGAUAACAGGCUGAUACCGCCCAAGAGUUCAUAUCGACGGCGGUGUUUGGCACCUCGAUGUCGGCUCAUCACAUCCUGGGGCUGAAGUAGGUCCCAAGGGUAUGGCUGUUCGCCAUUUAAAGUGGUACGCGAGCUGGGUUUAGAACGUCGUGAGACAGUUCGGUCCCUAUCUGCCGUGGGCGCUGGAGAACUGAGGGGGGCUGCUCCUAGUACGAGAGGACCGGAGUGGACGCAUCACUGGUGUUCGGGUUGUCAUGCCAAUGGCACUGCCCGGUAGCUAAAUGCGGAAGAGAUAAGUGCUGAAAGCAUCUAAGCACGAAACUUGCCCCGAGAUGAGUUCUCCCUGACUCCUUGAGAGUCCUGAAGGAACGUUGAAGACGACGACGUUGAUAGGCCGGGUGUGUAAGCGCAGCGAUGCGUUGAGCUAACCGGUACUAAUGAACCGUGAGGCUUAACCUUACAACGCCGAAG